rnacentral:rRNA from 1 species
AUGUCCACCCCAAGGAAUGUUGAGGCAUCUGCGAGGAGCCUCUUCAGGAUCGGCGAUGUUGCCAACUUUAAGCCAGCCAGCGCCACCCCAGUCAUGGAAUCACAGGGUACUGUUCGUUGGGGAUUGGGAAAUGGCUUUUGCACUGCAAACACAAAGAUCUUUGGCAGCUGUGUAAAUAGACAAAAUGGCAGGGAAUUAGAAAGACUUUAUGAGGCAAACAAUGGCAUACACCAAUUAGAUGAAAAUACCCGUAGGAGCGGAGAAGAACAAAACAAAUUAGUCUACUGCAGUAUGUUAGAAAAGAAAAGAAAAAUUAAAGCAGAGCCCUGCAAGCAAAUUUGUUUCUUUUGUGUGGACGGAACUAUCUGUACAGGGGAAACUAAAUAG